UUUGGAUCCAAAGCCAGGGUUGAGAUCCCUGUGCUGAAUCAGCCGAGGGUCUUCUGUGUUCACACAGCCAUCCAAGGAUGCUGCCAGCACUGGGUGUCACUAACAGUUGUUUUCUUUCUGGUAAUUCAUCAUCAGCCUUUCCUGGCAAUUUCUGUCCAAUGUCCUGGCUGCCACUCGACCCAGACAUCCCACUCUGCUCCCUGCUGAGCCCCCAUGCCCUCCAUGCCAAGGCCAGAGGUCCCUUUCCCUAGUCCUCUGGAUGUCACACACCUCAGAACUGUGGCCUGCAAAUGUCUGACUUCCGGGAGCAGCUGCUGGCCUGCGCUGGGAUGGAAGCGGAGUAUGUGGUGGAGUUUUCCUGUGAUCUUCCAAGAGCCCAAGUGAGCCAGCCAGAUGGAGCAGGUCCUGGCGGCAUAUGCCCAGUGAGUUAAGCCUAGGACCCCAGGGCAGGUCCCUCCCAGGAAGGCGCUGGCAGAGAACCCAUGCAUGAAGGCUGUCAACCAGUCCAUAGGGCAUAAUCCAACCUAGAAGAAGAGGAACAGACUUAUUCUUUACAAUCAAAGGACACAGGAAAAAGAAUGAAAGAAAACGAGAUUAUGAUGGCCAUUUAUGUGCUUUUAAAAGCAAAAGAAAAAAGAAAGAAAUUAGUAAUAUAUUUAACCCAGAAGAUCUAAAAUGUCAUCGCAGCAUGGAAUCGACAUAAAGCUGUUUUUCAUUAUUUCUUCCUCUAGUUCUCUGAGUUUGGGGUGCUCCUUGCACUUGAGUGCCCCUCAGUUCCAGCAAGUCACUGCCAGCACUGCCUGGCUGAUAUGGGAGCUGCUGGCUGCCAGACCUUCAGUCCCCAUCCCAUCCCAGCCCUCAUGCUGCUUCUCUGUGUGUUCCUUUUCCUGUUCCUGCUCCCUCUCACUGGCAGAGAGGUGCAGACUCUGCUGAGAGGCUUUUCCGGGUUUCUGACCCAGAAGGGACUCUCACUCCUUAGUCUUGUAUUGGAGGCCGGUCAGAGUGCUGAUCGCAAGAGUUUAACUGUGUCUGAGGCUGUCCCCUCACUUCUUGUGGUGUCUUUUGCAUCUUUGUUGUGGUCAUGGUCUUCACUGAACAGCUGAUCAGUAGAGACUUCCAUAGGUCCUUGCUCCCUCCCUGUUGAGAAGAGUCUCACACACCCAGAUGUGGUAGCUAAGGAGGAGUUCAUUCCAAAACAAGCACAGAAAUCACCUUCUCUCCUUUCCCCUCUGGAUCCCUGGUGUGGGAAGCCAGCUCUGGUUUCUGUCUAAUGGGGAGAUGAGGGAUCUGCACUCUGCCCAUCUGGGUGAUUUCUGGACCCCAUCAUGGUUCCUGCAGAUCUCCUUCCCUGCAUGCUUACUGCUGCCUCCACAUGGAAGAAAACCCAGUGCAAAAAAUGCUCACCUUCAGAGGCACCUGUCACAUGCUGGGGUCCACAGGAAGCCCCUCCCUCUGAGCAUCCAACAGUGCCUUCACUUGUGAGUGUGUUUGGCUUUUCCUCCUGCCAUUCUUCAGUAAUCUUCCAGUUAUUUUUAUAGUCACUACCAUCUGCAAUAAUCACCUUUUCUAUUUGAAUUUUAUUUUGGAGAGUUUUUUUCCUAUACCUUCCAUUAAAUGUGCCAUCAUUUCUCUCAUUUUUGCUUAAUCUUGAUGAUUUAUUUAAUUUUAUCUUGUCUCCUCCCCUGGUUCAAUUAUUUUUACUGAUUUUUGAUGCACUCUAUUUUUGUAGGCCACUAUGUUUCUUAAUCCCAUAAUAAGUAUUUUUUUCCUCUUCAAGAACUAUGAUUUUAGUAUUCUGAUUGUAGUGAGUUGACAGUUGGCUGUUUAUUUCUUUCCUCAUCCUCACAUUUUUCAAUAUUUCUGAGACUAUUUUUGCAUAUGACCACUCGUAUGGCCAUUAGAAUUCUACAAUUGGCUGGCCAUAAUCUACUAUAAAUACUCUAAAUUUAAUAUGGAGAUGCAUUGAAUUUACAUGUUAAUUCAGGGCAGAACUAGAUAGGUUACAAAGGUCACCUUUGAUAUCCCUGAUGGAAUAAGUCUUUCCAUUUAUCCUGUUUAAGCAUCUUUUGUUAUUGGGAUACAUAUAUCUACACCUCUAGAUCUUUCUUUGUAAACAUUAUAUAUACAUACAAAUUAUACAUAUUCAAAAUUUUUUCUUGUCCUCCCUAUGCCUGGUUAUUUUAUAGAGUUUGUUGAAAAUGUGAAAUAAAAUAAUUUGUCUGCCACAUUUUUAUGUGUUUUAUUUAUGGCUUAUGCAAAAAGUAUCAACUUCAUGUAUCAAGCUUCACCUAAUUUCUUGGUUCCUAUAUUAGUGUUUGGCAAAUCUUUCAGACUUUGAAAGCACAUGAUCUUGUAGUGGUAGUUCAUCUUCUC
ensembl:lncRNA